rnacentral:rRNA from 1 species
UACGGAGGGAGCUAGCGUUGUUCGGAAUUACUGGGCGUAAAGCGCGCGUAGGCGGCUUUGUAAGUUAGAGGUGAAAGCCCCGGAGCUCAACUCCGGAACUGCCUUUAAAACUGCAUCGCUUGAAUCCAGGAGAGGUGAGUGGAAUUCCGAGUGUAGAGGUGAAAUUCGUAGAUAUUCGGAAGAACACCAAUGGCGAAGGCAGCACUCUGGGACGGUACUGACGCUGAGACGCGAAAGCGUGGGGAGCAAACAGG